AUUGAACGCUGGCGGCAGGCCUAACACAUGCAAGUCGAGCGGAUGAAGGGAGCUUGCUCCUGGAUUCAGCGGCGGACGGGGGAGUAAUGCCUAGGAAUCUGCCUGGUAGUGGGGGAUAACGUCCGGAAACGGGCGCUAAUACCGCAUACGUCCUGAGGGAGAAAGUGGGGGAUCUUCGGACCUCACGCUAUCAGAUGAGCCUAGGUCGGAUUAGCUAGUUGGUGGGGUAAAGGCCUACCAAGGCGACGAUCCGUAACUGGUCUGAGAGGAUGAUAAGUCACACUGGAACUGAGACACGGUCCAGACUCCUACGGGAGGCAGCAGUGGGGAAUAUUGGACAAUGGGCGAAAGCCUGAUCCAGCCAUGCCGCGUGUGUGAAGAAGGUCUUCGGAUUGUAAAGCACUUUAAGUUGGGAGGAAGGGCAGUAAGUUAAUACCUUGCUGUUUUGACGUUACCAACAGAAUAAGCACCGGCUAACUUCGUG
rnacentral:rRNA from 1 species